rnacentral:rRNA from 1 species
GACGAACGCUGGCGGCGUGCUUAACACAUGCAAGUCGAACGGAAAGGCCCUGCUUUUGUGGGGCGCUCGAGUGGCGAACGGGUGAGUAACACGUGAGUAACCUGCCCUUGACUUUGGGAUAACUUCAGGAAACUGGGGCUAAUACCGGAUAGGAGCUCCUGCUGCAUGGUGGGGGUUGGAAAGUUUCGGCGGUUGGGGAUGGACUCGCGGCUUAUCAGCUUGUUGGUGGGGUAGUGGCUUACCAAGGCUUUGACGGGUAGCCGGCCUGAGAGGGUGACCGGCCACAUUGGGACUGAGAUACGGCCCAGACUCCUACGGGAGGCAGCAGUGGGGAAUAUUGCACAAUGAGCGGAAGCCUGAUGCAGCAACGCCGCGUGCGGGAUGACGGCCUUCGGGUUGUAAACCGCUUUCGCCUGUGACGAAGCGUGAGUGACGGUAAUGGGUAAAGAAGCACCGGCUAACUACGUG